UUAGUAGAGGUGCAUUUUUCAUCAGUACUUGUUUUGAUGUAAUAAGGUACAAAAGAUAAACAAGAAAAGGGAACGGUGCCGAAGUUAGAAUUUUCCUUAUAAAAUUCUUUCUGGUUUUUACGGAUAAUAUCCGUAUGAACUGUCAUCAUUUUUUCUUGGUGGAGUGCUACUAU
rnacentral:ncRNA from 1 species